AGAGUUUGAUCCUGGCUCAGGAUGAACGCUGGCGGCGUGCCUAAUACAUGCAAGUCGAGCGAACGGACGAGAAGCUUGCUUCUCUGAUGUUAGCGGCGGACGGGUGAGUAACACGUGGAUAACCUACCUAUAAGACUGGGAUAACUUCGGGAAACCGGAGCUAAUACCGGAUAAUAUUUUGAACCGCAUGGUUCAAAAGUGAAAGACGGUCUUGCUGUCACUUAUAGAUGGAUCCGCGCUGCAUUAGCUAGUUGGUAAGGUAACGGCUUACCAAGGCAACGAUGCAUAGCCGACCUGAGAGGGUGAUCGGCCACACUGGAACUGAGACACGGUCCAGACUCCUACGGGAGGCAGCAGUAGGGAAUCUUCCGCAAUGGGCGAAAGCCUGACGGAGCAACGCCGCGUGAGUGAUGAAGGUCUUCGGAUCGUAAAACUCUGUUAUUAGGGAAGAACAUAUGUGUAAGUAACUGUGCACAUCUUGACGGUACCUAAUCAGAAAGCCACGGCUAACUACGUGCCAGCAGCCGCGGUAAUACGUAGGUGGCAAGCGUUAUCCGGAAUUAUUGGGCGUAAAGCGCGCGUAGGCGGUUUUCUAAGUCUGAUGUGAAAGCCCACGGCUCAACCGUGGAGGGUCAUUGGAAACUGGAAAACUUGAGUGCAGAAGAGGAAAGUGGAAUUCCAUGUGUAGCGGUGAAAUGCGCAGAGAUAUGGAGGAACACCAGUGGCGAAGGCGACUUUCUGGUCUGUAACUGACGCUGAUGUGCGAAAGCGUGGGGAUCAAACAGGAUUAGAUACCCUGGUAGUCCACGCCGUAAACGAUGAGUGCUAAGUGUUAGGGGGUUUCCGCCCCUUAGUGCUGCAGCUAACGCAUUAAGCACUCCGCCUGGGGAGUACGACCGCAAGGUUGAAACUCAAAGGAAUUGACGGGGACCCGCACAAGCGGUGGAGCAUGUGGUUUAAUUCGAAGCAACGCGAAGAACCUUACCAAAUCUUGACAUCCUUUGACAACUCUAGAGAUAGAGCCUUCCCCUUCGGGGGACAAAGUGACAGGUGGUGCAUGGUUGUCGUCAGCUCGUGUCGUGAGAUGUUGGGUUAAGUCCCGCAACGAGCGCAACCCUUAAGCUUAGUUGCCAUCGUUAAGUUGGGCACUCUAAGUUGACUGCCGGUGACAAACCGGAGGAAGGUGGGGAUGACGUCAAAUCAUCAUGCCCCUUAUGAUUUGGGCUACACACGUGCUACAAUGGACAAUACAAAGGGCAGCGAAACCGCGAGGUCAAGCAAAUCCCAUAAAGUUGUUCUCAGUUCGGAUUGUAGUCUGCAACUCGACUACAUGAAGCUGGAAUCGCUAGUAAUCGUAGAUCAGCAUGCUACGGUGAAUACGUUCCCGGGUCUUGUACACACCGCCCGUCACACCACGAGAGUUUGUAACACCCGAAGCCGGUGGAGUAACCUUUUAGGAGCUAGCCGUCGAAGGUGGGACAAAUGAUUGGGGUGAAGUCGUAACAAGGUAGCCGUAUCGGAAGGUGCGGCUGGAUCACCU
rnacentral:rRNA from 1 species